rnacentral:rRNA from 1 species
GAUUUUAUACUAAUUUUUAGUUAUUAAAUUUUUUUAAAAUUAGUAUAGGGAGUAAUACGCUUUCGUUUUUAGGGUUAUCUAGCUUGAGUUUUUAUUUAAAGGGAAACCCUUUAUUUGAUAUAAUAUUUUCUUAUAUUGGUUUUUAUUUCUUUAAUAGUAAGAAAUUGUGUAAUAACUUAAUUUUAUUUUUUAUAAAGUUUUACUUGUUUUUGUAUUAUAAGUAAAUUAAUAAAUUAGUAGGAUUUUUUUUUGGUUUUUGGAUUUUUUUUGGAUUUUUUUGUUAUAAAUUAUUUUAGUUUGCUGAUUUUUUUUUAGACUGGUUAAUAAAAUCUUAGCUAAAAGAUUUUUAGUCACCCCUGCUCUAUGCUCUUUGUAAAUGGCUGUUUAUUAACACUAAGGUAGCAAAAUCAUUAGUUAUUUAAUUAGUAACUUGUAUGAAUGGGGCUUCUAAGAAUAUAUUAUUUUUGUUUUUGAAUUUAUAUAUUUGUUGAAAAUAACAAUAUAUACCUUAAGACUAAAAGACCCUAAAAUUUUUAUAAUUUUAAAAUUAUUUGGUUGGGGUAAUAAAAUAUUUUUAAAUAUAUUUAUCUUUUUAUUUCUAUGAACUUUUAUAUAAAGAUAAAUUGUAAAAUACUUUAGGGAUAACAGCUUAAUUAUUUUUAAGAGAUCUUAUUAAUAAAAUAGUUUUAGACCUCGAUGUUGGAUUGAGAAGACUUUUUGGGGUAG